rnacentral:tRNA from 1 species
GGUGCAUUAGUAAAACCAUUACAUGGCCUUGUCAAGACCAAAUCACAGACUCAACCUCUGUAUGCUCCU